rnacentral:rRNA from 1 species
GAUGAACGCUAGCGGCAGGCUUAAUACAUGCAAGUCGUGGGGCAGCAGGGGUAGCAAUACCCGCUGGCGACCGGCAAACGGGUGCGGAACACGUACGCAACCUUCCUUUAACUGGAGAAUAGCCCCUCGAAAGAGGGAUUAAUACUCCGUAACAUAUUGACCCCGCAUGGGGUUAAUAUUAUAGUCUUCGGGCGGUUAAAGAUGGGCGUGCGCCUGAUUAGAUAGUUGGUGAGGUAACGGCUCACCAAGUCUGCGAUCAGUAACUGGUGUGAGAGCACGACCAGUCACACGGGCACUGAGACACGGGCCCGACUCCUACGGGAGGCAGCAGUAAGGAUAUUGGUCAAUGGACGCAAGUCUGAACCAGCCAUGCCGCGUGGA